CCCAGUGGCAGCAUGUCUACUGAGUCCUCAGCUGUGUCGUGAAAAUCAAAUACAUGAGACAGAGAGGUUAGAUAGGAAGUUGGGUAGAACGCGUACUUCUAGGAACUAUACAGGGACUCCUGAGCGCAACCAGCCGAAGACGAGUAAGGGUUGCUCUGAAAUAUUCCAUCUGCUCUAGAGAUUGAUACUCCUUACAGUGCGUGGCUCUGGAGUCAGACUGUCCAGUUGAGAUCACAGCUUCAUCACCGGCGGACAUAUGACCCUAGCAAGUUAAUUAAGCUUCCUACUGAAGUAAUAAAAACAGUUCCUGUUUUGAGGAUUAGAAGAGAUGAUCUCUUUAAGAUGCUUAGCACAGUGCCUGGCACACAUAGUAAAUGCUUGGUAAACUGUGAUGAUUCCAAUGACAAUCCUGGCAGAAUUAAGCUAAUAAAAUUAAAUAAACUUUC